AUCUCUUGGUGGGGGCAGCGACCAAAUCUCCGUGUCUUUCCACAGUGCCUUGUACAAGCAGGUGCUGGUGGCCUAAGACCAGAGAUGGGAGAAACCAACGUGGGCCACCCAAAAAAGAACCUCACAACAGUGUCACCAAGACCUUGACCUUCUCAUAGGAAGAUGCGGCCAGUCAAGGACCCCCUUCGCAAAUACCCAUGUUUGGGGGACACCAAAGCCUUGGACUCCAGCCACCUGGUCAGCCCAUCCUCCAUCCUCCCAGUCCAAGACAGAAGUACCCAGUGAGACAGACACACAAGGCCAAAGACUCUGAGCUAGAAUGUCAGACCCCCUAGCCUCACUGAGCCGGAGAGACCAAGAGGUUUGGGUCCAGGAAAAACAGAGACAUAGAUCUAGGGAUGGAGAGACGGCUGCGGAAACACUGAAACACAGAAAAUCCACGCUUGUAUCCUGGCCUUUGCCCAACCCAUGGCCCCCUCAGCACUUCAGGCCCUCUAGUCCUGCUCCCCCCUCCUUCCCCUGCCACCUGCACUCCCUUCAAUGCCAUCCACCCAAACCUCAG